UUGACCUACCACAUCUCAAUUCAAACAAGUCACAUUUCAAGUGCUCAGUAGCCGUAUGUGGCCACAGGCUGCCAUAUUGGACAACAGAGGUCUAAGGUGUAUAUGAUUUGGGGAAAUGCUUGCUUAUUUCUCUAAGCUUCAGUUUCCUUAUCUGUGAAAUAGAGAUUAGCAUGCACCUUCCAGAGUCCUUGUUAGAAUUAAAUGAGAUAAUGUAUUUUAACAUUCCCAAAACAAUACCAGUACACAGAAAUUGCUCAAAAAAUUCUAGCUGUCAUUCUUACUUUAAUAACUUUGUCAUUUAUCUUCCUUAAAUGUUACCCUUGAUAUAAAUGUAAUUUUAGAAGAAAUAAAUUUGUAAUUGCA
rnacentral:lncRNA from 10 species